GCCGGGCGUGGUGGUGCAUGCCUGUAAUCCCAGCUACUUGGGAGGCUGAGGCAGGAGAAUUGCUUGAACCCAGGAGGCAGAGGUUGCAGUGAGCCACUGCACUCCAGCCUGGGUGACAGAGAAAGACUCUGUCUCAA
rnacentral:SRP_RNA from 1 species